GACGAACGCUGGCGGCGCGCUUAACACAUGCAAGUCGAACGAUGAAGCUGGAGCUUGCUCCGGUGGAUUAGUGGCGAACGGGUGAGUAACACGUGAGCAAUCUGCCCUUGACUCUGGGAUAACUGCGGGAAACUGUAGCUAAUACCGGAUACGAGAUUUGGAGGCAUCUCCGGAUCUGGAAAGAAUUUCGGUCAAGGAUGAGCUCGCGGCCUAUCAGCUUGUUGGUGAGGUAAUGGCUCACCAAGGCGACGACGGGUAGCCGGCCUGAGAGGGUGACCGGCCACACUGGGACUGAGACACGGCCCAGACUCCUACGGGAGGCAGCAGUGGGGAAUAUUGCACAAUGGGCGAAAGCCUGAUUCAGCAACGCCGCGUGAGGGAUGAAGGCCUUCGGGUUGUAAACCUCUUUUAGUAGGGAAGAAGCGAAAGUGACGGUACCUACAGAAAAAGCACCGGCUAACUACGUGCCAGCAGCCGCCGUAA
rnacentral:rRNA from 1 species